rnacentral:rRNA from 1 species
AGCAGUAGCCACGGUAAUACGUAGGGUGCAAGCGUUAAUCGGAAUUACUGGGCGUAAAGCGUGCGCAGGCGGUCCGCUAAGACAGAUGUGAAAUCCCCGGGCUCAACCUGGGAACUGCAUUUGUGACUGGCGGGCUAGAGUAUGGCAGAGGGGGGUAGAAUUCCACGUGUAGCAGUGAAAUGCGUAGAGACGUGGAGGAAUACCGAUGGCGAAGGCAGCCCCCUGGGCCAAUACUGACGCUCAUGCACGAAAGCGUGGGGAGCAAACAGGAUUAGAUACCCCAGUAGUCCCUGUCUCUUAUAC